GUGGACUUAGCUCAAUCGGUAGAGCACGGGUUUGAAACACCCGCAGCCCUGGUUCGAUUCCAGGAGUCCACA
rnacentral:tRNA from 1 species